AUGUUUGCCGUGCAAAGGUAUAAGGUGUGUUUGCCCUUAAGAAAACCGCAUGUCUUGUCAAGACUAUUUCUUAGUUAUCAAUUCUCAAUGCUGCUACUGUGUUUCCAGCUUUCCAAAUCAACCCUCGCCUUGGAGGAGGAACACUGUCCGCCUCUAAUCCAGCAGAGGGACCAGGUGUACCUCGAGCUUUCGAAAUCCUUGAAGGAGAAACACCGUGCAGAGCUAGUUGAGCAGAAGAAGGAGGAGCUGUACGAACUCCUCGCCAACGCCCACGCUAAUUCCGCGGCCUCCUCGCUGGACAAGAAUCUGCUCAAGGAUCUCUCUACACAAAUCAAGCCUAGACUAGAGGACCCCCAAUGGUGCAAGAUAACUAGAAACAAGAAGGUGACUGAUUUGGCUGCGUCGGUGGUUAUUCUUGCUACUUCUGCUCUCACUUACUGUGCCUUGACAGCUGGUCCUGAAAUAGUAAAGUAUGAUGGACAUCUUGUUACUGUUCAGAGUCUGCCCAUUCUACAAGGACAUGAGCCUGCUGCUACUGCUAAGGGAGUUCACAAGCAAGAUGUGCAGAAGUGA
rnacentral:rRNA from 1 species